rnacentral:rRNA from 1 species
GACAGAGGGGGCGAGCGUUAUCCGGAAUUAUUGGGCGUAAAGGGUACGUAGGCGGCUGGUCAAGUCUGGGGUCAAAGGCCACAGCUCAACUGUGGGAAGGCCCUGGAAACUGACCGGCUAGAGUGAGGUAGGGGUUGCGGGAAUUCCCGGUGUAGCGGUGAAAUGCGUAGAGAUCGGGAAGAACACCAGCGGCGAAAGCGCGCAACUGGGCCUCAACUGACGCUGAGGUACGAAAGCUAGGGGAGCGAAUGGG